rnacentral:rRNA from 1 species
CCCUUAGAUGUUCUGGGCCGCACGCGCGCUACACUGAUGCAUUCAACGAGCCUAGCCUUGACCGAGAGGUCCGGGUAAUCUUUGAAACUGCAUCGUGAUGGGGCUAGAUUAUUGCAAUUAUUAAUCUUCAACGAGGAAUGCCUAGUAAGCGUGAUUCAUCAAAUCGCGUUGAUUACGUCCCUGCCCUUUGUACACACCGCCCGUCGCUCCUACCGAUUGAAUGGUCCGGUGAAGCGUUCGGACCGUGGCCUUUGGACGGUUCGCCGUCUGUUGGCUGCGGGAAGUUCGUUAAACCUUAUCAUUUAGAGGAAGGAGAAGUCGUAACA